AAUCACUCAACCCCUGUGACAUACCUUAAUGUUGCCUCGGCGGAUCAGCCCGCGCCCCGUAAAACGGGACGGCCCGCCAGAGGACCCAAACUCUAAUGUUUCUUAUUGUAACUUCUGAGUAAAACAAACAAAUAAAUCAAAACUUUCAACAACGGAUCUCUUGGUUCUGGCAUCGAUGAAGAACGCAGCAAAAUGCGAUAAGUAAUGUGAAUUGCAGAAUUCAGUGAAUCAUCGAAUCUUUGAACGCACAUUGCGCCCGCUGGUAUUCCGGCGGGCAUGCCUGUUCGAGCGUCAUUUCAACCCUCAAGCCCCCGGGUUUGGUGUUGGGGAUCGGCUCUGCCCUUCUGGGCGGUGCCGCCCCCGAAAUACAUUGGCGGUCUCGCUGCAGCCUCCAUUGCGUAGUAGCUAACACCUCGCAACUGGAACGCGGCGCGGCCAUGCCGUAAAACCCCAACUUCUGAAUGUUGACCUCGGAUCAGGUAGGAAUACCCGCUGAACUUAAGCAUAUCAAUAAGCGGAGGAA
rnacentral:rRNA from 1 species